UAAUAAGUGUUUUAGGGCACUUUUUAAAUCCAUAUCCACCUUGUGUGCAAUGUCAGUCGAUCUUCUUCAUGGAGAUCGACCAAACAUCAACCUUUAUCUUUUAACUCUUUGUCUGAAAAAUAUUAUGAAUAAACAAUUCAAAAUA
rnacentral:misc_RNA from 1 species